GAUGAAGAACGUAGCAAAAUGCGAUAAGUAAUGUGAAUUGCAGAAUUCAGUGAAUCAUCGAAUCUUUGAACGCACAUUGCGCCCGCUGGUAUUCCGGCGGGCAUGCCUGUUCGAGCGUCAUUUCAACCCUCAAGCCCCCGGGUUUGGUGUUGGGGAUCGGCUCUGCCCUUCUGGGCGGUGCCGCCCCCGAAAUACAUUGGCGGUCUCGCUGCAGCCUCCAUUGCGUAAUAGCUAACACCUCGCAACUGGAACGCGGCGCGGCCAUGCCGUAAAACCCCAACUUCUGAAUGUUGACCUCGGAUCAGGUAGGAAUACCCGCUGAACUUAAGCAUAUCAAUAAGCGGAGGA
rnacentral:misc_RNA from 1 species